rnacentral:rRNA from 1 species
UACGAAGGGGGCUAGCGUUGCUCGGAAUCACUGGGCGUAAAGCGCACGUAGGCGGCUUUCUAAGUCAGGGGGUGAAAUCCUGGAGCUCAACUCCAGAACUGCCUUUGAUACUGGAGAGCUUGAGUCCGGAAGAGGUGAGUGGAACUCCGAGUGUAGAGGUGAAAUUCGUAGAUAUUCGGAAGAACACCAGUGGCGAAGGCGGCUCACUGGUCCGGUACUGACGCUGAGGUGCGGAAAGCGUGGGGAGCAAACAGGG